rnacentral:rRNA from 1 species
UACGAAGGGUGCAAGCGUUGUUCGGAUUUAUUGGGCGUAAAGGGUGCGUAGGCGGACAAUUAAGUCAGAUGUGAAAUCUCGGGGCUUAACCCCGAAACUGCGUCUGAAACUGGUUGUCUAGAAUAUCGGAGAGGGAAGCGGAAUUUCGCAUGUAGGAGUAAAAUCCGUAGAGAUGCGAAGGAACACCAGAAGCGAAGGCGGCUUCCUGGACGAUAAUUGACGCUGAGGCACGAAAGCGUGGGGAGCAAACAGG